AAUUAUUAUUUUCACUGAUCAAUCUCCAUCGUGCCUUCUCCAUCUACACGACACUGGCGAAGUACCUUGUGCCCAGUUGGCACAAAUAAAAGCCAUUAAAAAAAAAAAAAUCUAGGGUUAAGUAAUGGAGGAGAAAACGCAAAGCUAAUUGCAGAUGUCGCUUUCAUCGCUUGACCCAUGACAAUACGCUGUCAGUAUUCAGCAUUUCUUUCGUAAACCUAAGAUUUAGUAAAUCUUAAAAGGUGUUCACAAGUGAAAACUGCUGAAAAAUGUAUUCGACUUGGACUGUACCUCAAUUAAAAGCAGAAUUGAAGACUCGGGGCGGUUCUUUAAAAGGCAGAAAGGCAAAUCUUGACACGAGGCUCGAAUGUUUCGAGCGAAAUUUCAAUUUUGUUAAACAGCAAGUUCAUGAAACGGAUGAUGUUAAAAUGGAUUUACCAUCCAUUGAUGUAUAUCGGGACAUCAAUGCAAGCACAAGCCUUCCUCCCAUGACGAAACAACAUAUUCUAUAAUAUUACAAUGAAUUCCAUAAAAAGCAAGUUGACGGGCUGCAAUUGUAUGAAGCAAGAUUUUUAGUAGUUGUUAGAGCAGCUACAGUAGGUGAAUAUACCUUUGUUAAAGGCAUAACUCGUGCUUCGAUAAAACGGCUUCAAUAUGAAGUGAACAUUAAGAUACAUGCUAGAGGAUCAAUAAAGGAAUCUCAAUGUGAAUGUGUGGCAGGUAGUGGUACAAAUGCCCAUUGCAAGCAUGUGGCUACUGUGCUCUAUGCCAUAGAGCAUAUGGUGCGUGAAAAAAUUAUAAUUAAACAUCAAGUGCCAACAGAAAAAUUGCAAAAGUUUUAUGUGCCACAGAAAGUUUUCACUGCAUCUCCUAUGAUAACUUAAACUACCCAUGAAAAGAAAUGUGGAAAAUACAAUAUUUUCCCCAUGCUCUAUGCUAGUGGACAAAGAAGAAUAUAAGAAAAGAUUUAGAAGUUUGAUCCUAAAUCACCCAUUAAAAAUGCCAAUUAAACACUUGUAUGAGCCAGCAAAUCCCUAUGCGGUGGAAAGGGAUCAUACUUAUUGUAAGGAAAAUGCUGAAACCAACCUUUUAAUUCUGUAAUGUUUUAGUCUAUACUUAUAAAGAUCUGAAAGUGAUUUACGAGGAAAGGUAUGAAAAAUUUAUCAAUUGUGAUAACAGUAUUGGACAAAUUUUAUGUGGAAUAUUUUAAAAAGGCCCUACUUAAUAAAUAUAUUUAUAAGAAUUACUUAGAAACAUUAAAACCCACUGAUUA